rnacentral:rRNA from 1 species
GUAGGUGGCAAGCGUUGUCCGGAAUUAUUGGGCGUAAAGCGCGCGCAGGCGGUCCUUUAAGUCUGAUGUGAAAGCCCACGGCUCAGCCGUGGAGGGUCAUUGGAAACUGGGGGACUUGAGUACAGAAGAGGAAAGCGGAAUUCCAAGUGUAGCGGUGAAAUGCGUAGAGAUUUGGAGGAACACCAGUGGCGAAGGCGGCUUUCUGGUCUGUAACUGACGCUGAGGCGCGAAAGCGUGGGGAGCAAACAGGGAUUAGAUACCCUGGUAGUCCACGCCGUAAACGAUGAGUGCUAAGUGUUAGGGGGUUUCCCGCCCCCUUAGUGCUGCAGCUAACGCAUUAAGCACUCCGCCUGGGGAGUACGGCCGCAAGGCUG